GGAUUUGUGGCGCAAUGGUAGCGCGUUUGACUACAUGUCAGAAGGUACGUGUUCAAAUCACGUCAGGUCCA